rnacentral:rRNA from 1 species
UACAGAGGGUGCAAGCGUUAAUCGGAAUGACUGGGCGUAAAGGGCGAGUAGGCGGGAGAAUAAGUGAGGUGAUAAAGACACGGGCUUAACCUGUGGAUAGGACUUCAGACUGUUUUUCUAGAGAGCAGUAGAGGGGAAAGGAAUUUCCGAAGGAGCGGUAAAAUGCGUAGAUCUCGGAAGGAACACCAGUGGCGAAGGCGUUUUUCUGGACUGUAUCUGACGCUGAGGCGCGAAAGCGUGGGGAUCAAACAGG